rnacentral:rRNA from 1 species
UACAGAGACUGCGAGCGUUAUUCGGAUUCACUGGGCGUAAAGGGUGCGCAGGUGGCUAGGUGUGUUAGGCGUGAAAGCCCGGGGCUUAACCCCGGAAUUGCACCUAAAACUACUUGGCUAGAGCAUUGGAGAGGGGAGCAGAAUUCAUGGUGUAGCAGUGAAAUGCGUAGAUAUCAGGAGGAACACCGAUGGCGAAGGCAGCUAUCUGGGCUAAGAUUGACGCUGAGGUGCGAAAGCGUGGGGAGCGAACGGG